ensembl:lncRNA
UCUGAAAUAGAGCUUUCUCCUAAGCCCUACGCUCCUGUCUGCUAAGCUGUGCAUUCUUAUCACUGCAGAGUGUGGUUCUUGUUUGCUUUUGCAGGUGUUUGUAACUUGGUGAAUAACGCUCUGAAGGCAUCACAGACUGCCUGCUUGUCUCUGCAGUGCUCGGGCUUUUCUGAGCUGCAGGCUCGCUGCAGCCCCGUGGCAUAGCCUUGCAUCUGGUGACGAACUGAAGCUGGAGAAUCCUGGCAGCAGAGGACGCUCCUGCCCCACCGAAGGGCUCACAGCUCCACCGCAGCUCCACCGACCUCAGUGCUGGUGAGGAGGCUGAGAUGCCUCCAAGUGAUGAAUGCAGUCCACCCAACCUUACACCUCGUGUGGUUCACUGUGCGAGGCGACCAGGAAGAAAGGUGGGCACAGGUAAUACUGCAUCAAAAGCAACUGCAGAGCUCUCGGGCUGGUAGUCCAGGGUGUGGGGCCCAGGUGGUGCUGUGGGACAGGUGUGAAAGGAGGGCACUGGUGGUGCGUGCCAGUCCUUGGCUGCAGGACUGGUGCUGGUGGCAGGGCCUUGGGUUCUGUGUCUGCAGGACCUCUUUGCAGAUUGGUGUCUGCUUGGAAGGGAUGGGACCCACCUACCUAAGAGAGGUGAGGAUAUUUUCAUCAGUAGGAUGGCAGCUUCACAAGGGAGGCUUUAACCUAAGAAUGGUGAGGGCUUUUGAUCACAGGGAUGGGGUGAUGUGAGGGAGAGGGACCAGAAAAUCAGCACUUGCAGGGUUGCAAGGAAAUGCCUGAAGGCACUGCUAUGGGGAGAUUCCCCAAAGCUCCAGAGGAGGUUGUGGUGGGUAACGGGGGAGGCUGCUUGGAUUUGUGCAGAGGGAGAGCUGGAGAGAGAAAUAGAUGGACAGAGGGAUCAACAGAGGAGAGAACUGUUGAUGAUGGAUGGAUGGAUGGAUGGAUGGAUGGAUGGAUGGAUGGAUGGAUGGAUGGAUGGAAAAACGGAUUGAAGGAUCAUUGGAUGGACGGAACGAUUGUUGGAUGAAAGGGUGGAUGUAAAUACAGGUGGGUGGAGAGAUCAACGGGAAAAUAUGAUUUCUGCCUGAAAGACCAGUGUGCCCCCAGGCCCCACUCCCUCCAUGGGAACCAGUGGGGGUGGCCCUGCGGGUACAGAACCCACGUCCCAUUGGCUGGAGCCAUUCUCUUGGCUGCUACAGAACGCAGAACCUUUGGAGGAGGCUCAGUUCCAUGGCUCUGGCAUGGGGAGUGCUGGAUCCCUGGAUCCUCUGUCCAUUUGGGAUGGGGUGAUGGGGUCUGUGGUGCAGGAUGGAUCUUGGGUAUGGUGGUCUGUUGCCCCCUUUUAGUGGGAUGUGGGGUGAGAGAAGUCCUUGCCGUAUGGGUCCCCUUCUUACAGGAGGGAUUGGGCUCUAUGGAGUAGAAUGGGUCAGUGAGGUCCGUUGCCCACCUAUCAGGUUUACGGGGUCCAGUGGGGCAGGGAGAGGUCCCAAACCCCUCAGUUGGAUGCCCUGUUUAAUGUGGGAAGGAAGAUAAUGAGGUAAAGCGAGGCAGAGGGAGGGCCCCCUCCUUGCCCCUCCCCUUCAUUGCUGUGAUGUCAGUGGGGUAACAGCAGUUCUCAGGGUAACUGUCCCAACCCCAAACCAUCCUAGACUCCUCUCUGAUCAGCUGUGAAGAUGGUGCCUUGUGGCCUUAUUCCCAUCUGGGAUGGAUCGUUCUACAAUGCUGUGUGUCCCAUUGGGCCAAAAGUACUGUUUGGUGCUGAAAUCCAACUCCAUUCCUCACCAGCUGUAUUCCCAAGAAAUCCUCCUUCCCCAUCCUCCCCAAGCUCCCAACUUCUAUCUCCAACUGAUGUGCAGAAAUCAAACUCUAUAACCACAGAGUGGUUAUAAAGCAGGUCUGGCCGACUGGCACAGUCAGUCUCCAAGCAGUCGCACGCUGCCGGUUUGGAGGUAGUUCUGUGUUGGUGUUAGAAUCAUGGAAUGGCCUGGGUUGAGAAGGACCUCAAAGAUCGUCCAGUUCCAACCCCCUGCUAUGUGCAGGGUCACCAACCGACGGACCAGGCUGCCCAGAGCCUUGUCUUGAAGAAGAUUGUUUUUAGGAGAACAAAAACUUUGGAUCACCUUUCAAAUACAGAGAAAAAAAUAACGCUGUAUUAUUUUUUUGUUUUAUUUUCCUGUUGUUAUGAUCAGGUAAAGAGACAGACAUAUCACAUCUCAGAAAUGGCUUUACUUCAGUGGCCUUAAAUGGUCCCUCUGUGAUCAUUAUUUUCUUAUUGAAUCGCUGUCAGACACAGCUGGUGGAUUUUUGUACGUGCAGUUUGGAGUUCCUGGCUAAAAUGAACCACAUGAAUACAGAUUACGGAUAUUCUUAUCUCAGCACGCUUUUGAGAUGAG